CAGGGAGACAACAAAAUGUUUAAUAUUAUUAUUUUGUCACCUUAGGUCGAUCGGUAUCUCACGUUCUUAAUUUAUUAAGAAUUUUAUUUCCUAAGUUUUUCUAGGUCACACCCAUUAUUUUUCCUGGGCCAUUAGCUCAGGUGGUUAGAGCGCACCCCUGAUAAGGGUGAGGUCCCUGGUUCAAGUCCAGGAUGGCCCAUAUCUCUAUGUUGGGGGUAUAGCUCAGUUGGUAGAGCGCCUGCUUUGCAAGCAGGAUGUCAGCGGUUCGAGUCCGCUUACCUCCACUGAUUACCACCUCUUCCAUAAUCUGUAGAAGGGAAAUGUUUUGAGUUGUGAUCAAAUUCUGAACGAAUCUAGCUUCCUAAUGAAAUCAUUAAGAUGCUGGACUCAUUGAAUUAAUUUCAUUGUUUUCAGAGAACCUUGACAACUGCAUAGAUUAUUUUUUUUUAAAGACAAUAAGCAUCUUUAAUGAUGCAGAUUUAUUAUUUAUGCGAAAGCAUUAAUAACAAUUCUAUUAAGCUGAUGCUUCAAUAUAUUGAAGUUAUU
rnacentral:tRNA from 1 species